AAACCAACAGGGAUUGCCUCAGUAACGGCGAGUGAAGCGGCAAGAGCUCAAAUUUGAAAUCUGGCCUCCCCCGGGGGCCCGAGUUGUAAUUUGCAGAGGAUGUUUCGGGUGCGGCCGCCGUCUAAGUUCCUUGGAACAGGACGUCAGAGAGGGUGAGAAUCCCGUCUUGGGCGGGCGGUCCGCGCCCGUGUGAAGCUCCUUCGACGAGUCGAGUUGUUUGGGAAUGCAGCUCUAAGCGGGUGGUAAAUUUCAUCUAAAGCUAAAUAUUGGCCGGAGACCGAUAGCGCACAAGUAGAGUGAUCGAAAGGUUAAAAGCACCUUGAAAAGGGAGUUAAACAGCACGUGAAAUUGUUGAAAGGGAAGCGCUUGCGGCCAGACUCGGGGGCGGGGUUCAGCGGGUGCUCGUCGCCCGUGUAUUCCUCGUUUCCCGGGCCAGCAUCAGUUUCGACGGCCGGUCAAAGGCCCCCGGAAUGUGUCGUCUCUCGGGACGUCUUAUAGCCGGGGGUGCAAUGCGGCCCGUCGGGACUGAGGAACGCGCUCCGGCUCGGAUGCUGGCGUAAUGGCCGUAAGCGGC
rnacentral:rRNA from 2 species